GGGACAGCUUUACCUCUAACAAAGACGGCAACAAGAAAGCUCAAAAGCAGGGAAAUGCUCCUCCAUCCUCCAGGUUUGCAGUCCCUUCUCCCAUUCCUCCUAUAGGGCAAGGGUAUCCCAAAAGGGCCAGUACCUGCCUCCUCAAGCCCACGCACUACAGGAAAGGAAGGGUACUUUCGUGACGUUUACACCAAGUGAGGAGGUCAGGAAAGACGCCCCACAUCUCUUCCACCUGCGUGUCAGAUGCUGGAAUCCUCCUGACAAUUAACAAAAUCUAAUUUUAUCUAAGGAGAGAUGAGAUGCACAAUGCUAAUACUCCUGAGAGAAACAGCAAGUUGGUUUAAGCACUCUAUGUUGAUUGAUUGAGCAACGCCAAGCAGAGAAGAAUCAUGUCCAGGAGCAAGGGGAAUCUGGUUAGGUGAAGCUUCUGACCCCAUGGACAAGCCAGCUCUUAUGCCAAAAACAAAGGCUGGGCUGUUUCCACGCUGCCCCAGUAACACACCUGUGCAGCCUCCGCUCUGUUGCAUCAGCCUUUCCAUAACCACCUUUCACCCGCAAACUCAAGUUCUAACUCCUUAGGCCAGAGUUCAACACCCUCCCAUCUGGCCCCAGCCCAACUUUCCAACGUCCCCCUCACCAGCAACCUCUACAAACUACUCCGACCCUUUGGCCUAUUCCCCAUUCUCCAAACACACCUUGCAAUUUCGCUGCUGUAUCUCCCGCCAGCCUUCAAAGUCCAUCCUGAGCCCAGCGCCUCAGGGGUCCCUCCUCAAGCUGGUCCUCUUCACUAAGACACAAGCCCUUCCUGAACUCAGGGCUCGAGGUUUCUUCGUCGGCAUACUUCCUUUAUUGCUUAGUUAUACAACAGAUCUACCUAUCGGUGCUGGUGAUUAGAUUCUAAGAUUAAGCUCUAAGGAACUUUAAGAGAUUAUUUCAUUCGACUCCCUUAAUAGGUAUCGAGAACACCAAGCCUGAACAAUGACUUGCCAGGGGCCUCAGCACUCAUUAGUAGCAGAGGAGGGUGGAGAAUUCCUGCCCUCGUGUAGACUCCAUCCUGUCUCCUCCAUAGCACCACACAGCCUCUCAGAACUCUUUUAAAU
ensembl:lncRNA